AGAUUUUUAUAUGGAGACAAGUUGAGUGUUGGGAGGAGUUCUCUAAUUGGCUACCAGAUAUAAUGGCAAUGGGGGAUUUUGAGAAUUACUUUUCGGUUGCAACACGAGAGUAUGCUCCAUUAGUUAAUGAGGUUUGGAAGAAUCCGACUAUUUAGAAAACUUACAAGCGAAGAAAUGAGCUGGAUUUUCUUCCGAAUGUUGCCAAAUGUCGAUAUUUCCAACAACCCACUACUCAAAAGUUAGAAGAUCUCAAGUAUGACUAAUACAUCUUACUCUUUAUAAUUUUAUGAUUUUAUACUCAAAAAAUUAUUUAUGAAUUUAUGAUUUUGUAUAUUUCUUAUAAGAACUUAUCUACAUUAAGCAAGUUGGAUAACCCUAAGGAUCCAACAAAUUGUUUUGAUCAGUUUCUUGAGGAAUGAAGAUGGUGAAACAUAUAGAAGAAGAAUAGCGAACAUAAUAGGACUGACGAAGGGUAGCAUAUUCAAAGAAAGUUAGAAAAGAGAAAACAAAGGAUACUAAAAAGAAGACAUGAACCAUUUCAAAUGUCUAACAAGAAAAGUUUCCAUAUUGUUUGCUAAUGGAUGGGCUACCAAAAGAUGGAAAAAUAGAGGAAGCUGAUUCUUAAGUACAUUUAUUACCCACAAUUCAAGAAGAGCCCGCAAGCUUAUGAUUUUUGGGUUUGAAGGAUCUGGGACAAGUACUAUUUUCAAGAAGAUAUCAUUAUCAUUCAAGCUAAUUUUUAACGUGUCAGGUUCAGAUUUGGAAUUGAAUUCCGAUUCCAAUUCCGAUGACCAUAAUCCUCAUACAAAAUCUAUAGCUAUAGAUGAAGCAAAUGCGAGAAUGCAAGAAGAGGGGCAAGAGGACGUACAAGUUAACAUCAAAUAAAAGCCUGGCGAGUUUCGAUUACGAAAUUCCAACACAUGAGAUUAUCAUUUGUGGUUAAAUGACAUCUUAUGUUGCAAUUACUUGGGUAGUGUUUGGUGUAUGAUAGAAUCAGAGGAAGGAGUAGAAUGAUUCAUUCCAUUGGAAUGAAAAAGAAAUUGUUUGUUUUCGUUUAAUAUUGUUAUAUUUUAGACAAGUAAUCAAAUUUAAAUUUUAUUG